CGACUAUUGGCGCCGUGUCUUGCCAUUUGUGUGAGCUAUCUUACUUUGCCUUUCAAGUGCUUGCGUGAUGUUACCUGACCUAUGGGUAUUGGUGCUUCAUACAUAGUUGCCUCGUGGUGGACGCCUUUGGGUGUGCUGCUGCGGCCGUAUGGCGAUUGUGGCGUUGCCUCGUGGUGCUGUUUCUUCUGGCCGGUGCUAUCAAGGCAGCCUUGCUCUCGUUAUUGGUUUUGGAUGUCGCUCAUGAUAUAUAUCCUCGUGGCCCAUUUGGUUGCCUCGGGGCCUGACCCUAAGAACGCUCUCCGACUUUGAGAACAUCGUUGAACGAAUGUUGCCUCUACCUUUCCACAACUAGUGGCAGGAUUACGCAGCAUACUCGAGUCCGAUCCCCAAAUAAGUCGGACGAGCAAGACCCUAAGAAUGCUCUCCGACUUUGAGAACAUCGUUGAAGGAAUGUUGCCUCUACCUUUCCACAUCAAGUGGCAGGAGUACGCAGCAUACUCUAUUCCGAUCCCCAAAUAAGUCGGAUGAGCUUGG
rnacentral:misc_RNA from 1 species